rnacentral:rRNA from 1 species
ACGGGGUGCAGCAGGCGCGAAAACUUGUCAAUGCGGGAAACCGCGAACAGGGGAGUCCAAGUGCUUGCACUUUGUGUAAGCUGUUCGGUUGUCUAAAAAACAGCCGAAGGAAGGGCUGGGUAAGACAGGUGCCAGCCGCCGCGGUAAUACCUGCAGCCCGAGUGGUGAUCGAUUUUAUUGAGCCUAAAGCGUCCGUAGCCGGACUAGUAAACCCUUGGGUAAAUUGGGCAGCUUAACUGUCCAAAUUCCGAGGGGACUGCUAGUCUUGGGACCGGGAGAGGUCAGAGGUACUCCAGGGGUAGGGGCUAAAUCCUGUAAUCCUUGGGGGACCACCAGUGGCGAAGGCGUCUGACUAGAACGGAUCCGACGGUAAGGGACGAAACCCUGGGGCGCGAACCGGAUUAGAUACCCGGGUAGUCCAGGGCGUAAACGCUGCAGGCUUGGUGUUGGGGACCCUACGAGGGUGCCCAGUGCCGGAGUGAAGAUGUUAAGCCUGCCGCUUGGGAGUACGUCCGCAAGG